GUGGGGAAUAUUGGACAAUGGGCGCAAGCCUGAUCCAGCCAUGCCGCGUGAGUGAUGAAGGCCUUAGGGUUGUAAAGCUCUUUCAGUGGGGACGAUAAUGACGGUACCCACAGAAGAAGCCCCGGCUAACUUCGUGCAAGAAGCCGCGGUAAUACGAAGGGGGCUAGCGUUGUUCGGAUUUACUGGGCGUAAAGCGCACGUAGGCGGAUCGUUAAGGCGGGGGUGAAAUCAUGGAGCUCAACUCCAGAACUGCCUUCGAUACUGGCGAUAUUGAGUCCGGAAGAGGUGAGUGGAACUCCUAGUGUAGAGGUGGAAUUCGUAGAUAUUAGGAAGAACACCAGUGGCGAAGGCGGCUCACUGGUCCGGUACUGACGCUGAGGUGCGAAAGCGUGGGGAGCAAACAGGAUUAGAUACCCGAGUAGUCC
rnacentral:rRNA from 1 species